GGGAAAACAGAGUGAGGCCGUGUUGACUUCCAGCACUCAGUUUGCCGUGGUCUGAGCUGCUGCCAGCACACCUGGCUUCUCCCUGCAGCGCACAGCCCCAGUGUUUCUAGACGUCCUGAAAGGGAUGUUUUCCCACGUGAAAGCCCUUACGUGGGAUGCCAGCUGGGCAACGUCAACUAUGAGGGAAAGCUGCCGCACUUUGGGGUCAGAAACCAGAACGCCCAAAUCUCAUCCAUGCCCUGGGUGAGAACCAAGCAACUCGUCUCGUCUUUCCGUGCCCCCAUUUCCUCGUCUGCGAAAUGGAGUGAGACCGACGACUUUCUCUGUUGGCCUCCACCCAGAGGUCACCAAGAGAAGGAAGGCCGGCAGCAGGAGGGCCGGCAGGAGCCCACCUCCCAGAAGAGCACUUACGGGCCAGGAGAAUUUGAAAGGCGGCCUGGGCCAAUCCACGCUUGGACCUCAGUCUUGUCUGCUAAUGAUUCCAACUCAUGUUAGGGAGGGAACGGAGGACGCUGGUCAUGCCAAUGGUGAGCAGGAAGGACCGGGGGCUCGGAAGGCAUCCUGAUGCCCACUCCACCGCUGACGCACAGGGGGCUGGACUUCCUGAGAACGCAGCUUGCUCUCAUGGAUCCUGCCUGACCUGACCUUCUUUCUACACACAAGGAAACUGAGGCCCAGAGAAACCUGUGCUCAGGUCAGGUCACGCAGCUAGUCCGUGAAAAAGCCAGCACAAAAUGAAAACAGUCCAGAGGUCUUCUCCUGCAUGGAGCAAGGAUAAAGAAGAAACAGAAACCGACCUAGAUUACUGUGGUCCAAACUCAGGUCUCGAAAAACUUUAGUCACUGAACAAAGGAACCAUUAGUAGUAGUUACACCCCUGGAUGUCCUGAUCCAACAUCGGGGCCAUAAACUCUAUUGCUGAUACAAACUCUGGAGUAGGA